rnacentral:rRNA from 1 species
UACGUAGGGUGCAAGCGUUGUCCGGAAUUAUUGGGCGUAAAGAGCUCGUAGGCGGUCUGUCGCGUCGGAUGUGAAAAUCCAGGGCUCAACCCUGGACCUGCAUUCGAUACGGGCAGACUAGAGUUCGGUAGGGGAGACUGGAAUUCCUGGUGUAGCGGUGAAAUGCGCAGAUAUCAGGAGGAACACCGGUGGCGAAGGCGGGUCUCUGGGCCGAUACUGACGCUGAGGAGCGAAAGCGUGGGGAGCGAACAGG